rnacentral:rRNA from 1 species
GAAUGCUGACAUAAGUAACGAUAAAGCGGGUGAAAAGCCCGCUCGCCGGAAGACCAAGGGUUCCUGUCCAACGUUAAUCGGGGCAGGGUGAGUCGACCCCUAAGGCGAGGCCGAAAGGCGUAGUCGAUGGGAAACAGGUUAAUAUUCCUGUACUUGGUGUUACUGCGAAGGGGGGACGGAGAAGGCUAUGUUGGCCGGGCGACGGUUGUCCCGGUUUAAGCGUGUAGGCUGAUUUUCCAGGCAAAUCCGGAAAAUCAAGGCUGAGGCGUGAUGACGAGGCACUACGGUGCUGAAGCAACAAAUGCCCUGCUUCCAGGAAAAGCCUCUAAGCAUCAGGUAACAUCAAAUCGUACCCCAAACCGACACAGGUGGUCAGGUAGAGAAUACCAAGGCGCUUGAGAGAACUCGGGUGAAGGAACUAGGCAAAAUGGUGCCGUAACUUCGGGAGAAGGCACGCUGAUAUGUAGGUGAAGCGACUUGCUCGUGGAGCUGAAAUCAGUCGAAGAUACCAGCUGGCUGCAACUGUUUAUUAAAAACACAGCACUGUGCAAACACGAAAGUGGACGUAUACGGUGUGACGCCUGCCCGGUGCCGGAAGGUUAAUUGAUGGGGUUAGCGGCAACGCGAAGCUCUUGAUCGAAGCCCCGGUAAACGGCGGCCGUAACUAUAACGGUCCUAAGGUAGCGAAAUUCCUUGUCGGGUAAGUUCCGACCUGCACGAAUGGCGUAAUGAUGGCCAGGCUGUCUCCACCCGAGACUCAGUGAAAUUGAACUCGCUGUGAAGAUGCAGUGUACCCGCGGCAAGACGGAAAGACCCCGUGAACCUUUACUAUAGCUUGACACUGAACAUUGAGCCUUGAUGUGUAGGAUAGGUGGGAGGCUUUGAAGUGUGGACGCCAGUCUGCAUGGAGCCGACCUUGAAAUACCACCCUUUAAUGUUUGAUGUUCUAACGUUGGCCCGUAAUCCGGGUUGCGGACAGUGUCUGGUGGGUAGUUUGACUGGGGCGGUCUCCUCCUAAAGAGUAACGGAGGAGCACGAAGGUUGGCUAAUCCUGGUCGGACAUCAGGAGGUUAGUGCAAUGGCAUAAGCCAGCUUGACUGCGAGCGUGACGGCGCGAGCAGGUGCGAAAGCAGGUCAUAGUGAUCCGGUGGUUCUGAAUGGAAGGGCCAUCGCUCAACGGAUAAAAGGUACUCCGGGGAUAACAGGCUGAUACCGCCCAAGAGUUCAUAUCGACGGCGGUGUUUGGCACCUCGAUGUCGGCUCAUCACAUCCUGGGGCUGAAGUAGGUCCCAAGGGUAUGGCUGUUCGCCAUUUAAAGUGGUACGCGAGCUGGGUUUAGAACGUCGUGAGACAGUUCGGUCCCUAUCUGCCGUGGGCGCUGGAGAACUGAGGGGGGCUGCUCCUAGUACGAGAGGACCGGAGUGGACGCAUCACUGGUGUUCGGGUUGUCAUGCCAAUGGCACUGCCCGGUAGCUAAAUGCGGAAGAGAUAAGUGCUGAAAGCAUCUAAGCACGAAACUUGCCCC